UAUAUAGGAGAGCUCAGAAAAACUGAAUUCGCAUUCCCAUACUGAUGUGAAAACUUGCUAAAAGCAGCCAUCGCUAUCUCUGACGCAGGGCAAACACUCUAUAAAUACCAUAGCUUUUUAUCUUGCAAUACUGCUUUGUUAGUGGGCAAACAGAAAAGUCUGUCUGUCUGUUGUGUGGCCUCGUUUAAACUAAUAUCAGAUCAGUUAUGGCCACUUACUCUGUCCAUCUCCAUCUUCUUUCCAUGCUUCUCACUCUUUCAGAUUCAGGUGUCCGAGUCCUUGGUGCUGGGCUUGGAAUUAACUAUGGACAGAUUGCCGACAACCUCCCAUCUCCCUCCCGUGUUUCCGUGAUGCUUCAAUCCCUCGACGUCAGCAGGUUAAAACUCUAUGAUGCCGAUCCCAAAGUCCUGCAGGCCUUUUCUAAUUCAAGUGUUGAAUUCAUUGUUGGGAUUGGGAACGAGUACCUCCAAGACAUGGCUGACCCUGUCAAAGCUCAAAACUGGGUUCAACAGCAUCUUCAACCCUACCUCGCUCAAACCAAAAUCACUUGCAUCUCUGUCGGGAACGAGGUGUUCAUGAGCAAUGAUACUCAGUUAUGGUCAAAUCUCCUUCCGGCAAUGAAGAUGGUGCAUAACACUCUUGUUAAUCUUGGAUUAGAUAAACAAGUGAUUGUCACUACUGCACAUCCCUUUACCAUCAUAGGAAAUUCAUACCCUCCUUCAUCCGGGACUUUCCGGCAAGAUAUUAUCGAAUACAUGCAUGCGAUCUUGGAUUUUCAUUCUCAAACCAAGUCACCAUUCCUUAUCAACGCAUAUCCCUUUUUCGCAUACAAGGAUAACCCAGACCAAAUACCUCUAGAUUAUGUCCUCUUCCAGCCUAACGAAGGGAUGACAGAUCCAAACACAAAUCUGCAUUAUGAUAAUAUGUUGUACGCUCAAGUAGAUGCUGUGUAUUCAGCAAUUAAAGCAAUCGGACAUACAGAUAUUGAAGUUAAGAUCUCAGAGACAGGUUGGCCAUCCAAGGGGGAUCCUACCGAGGUCGGAUCAACACUACAAAACGCAGAGCUAUAUCAUAGUAAUCUGUUGAAGAGAAUUCAGCAGAAGCAAGGCACACCAGCAAAACCAUCCGUGCCGGUUGACAUAUAUGUUUUUGCACUAUUUAACGAGAAUUUAAAGCCUGGUCCGACAUCUGAAAGGAACUACGGGCUCUUUUAUCCCGACGGCACUCCAGUUUUUAACAUCAGAUUGCAGGGCAAUCUUCCUGGAAUAAUUUAUUCCUCGGCAUCCAAUAUAAAAGCAUUGUCCACCUUCACCUUGGUGAUAUCUGUUUUAGCAUACUUGAUCCAUGCUUAGGUUACCUGAAUUCCGGUGAACGAGGGAUAGAUAAACAACCAAAGUCUAACACCACAAAUCGCAUAGCCGCAGCAAGAUUUUUUAUAGGGAGAGAGAAUGGCAGCAAGGGUCUUGUUCCGAUCACACAAACACAUGGCUAAAGCUGUUUCAGUGUCUAGCAAAGCAUCUAUACCAGUUUCAUUGUGUACUGUUAUUGAAAAAAUGACAUUAAUCACUAACAUGUCAGGAUGCUGCAUCCUGGAUCGGUAGUUCUUCUAUAGAUUUAAAUUAUAGAAAUAUCGGGGGCAGUAAGGUGAAUUUAUGCUGGGCAGAGUUCUUCCUUCUCAAAAGAAAAUAGAAAAUGAGAAGCUAGGUAGAAUUGUUAAACUCAAUUCUUGUUCAAAUGCCUAACAAGGAAGAACACGUUGAAGAUUUACAAAGCUUCAGCCAGUCUUGUUUCUGCAUUUUGGGUGCCACAAGUUAAUUAUGAAUAAUAUCCUUGUAAUCAUC